GGUGAAAAGCUAAACAAAAUCCCCCAAAAACCAGGAAAAUCGAUGAUCACAGCCAAACUGUCGAUUUUCACCAAUUUUUCCCGAUUUUAAGCUAAAAUGGGUAAGAAAAAGCUGAAAAAAACAACAAAAAAACGUUUAAAAAUUCAGGCGCCGGCUUGGUUUCCGCAUGCCUGCCGAUUUCCUACGUCUUGCUGGUCCAUUUGUUCGAUAGAAAUGGAACCGACCGAAAUGACCCGGAAAGUGUGAAGAGGAGGUGCGGAAUUGAAGAAAAUAGUGCGGAAAAACGGAAAAUUUGACGUGGAAAACCUAGGAAUAUCGGAUUUUUUGAAAAAAAAAAAGAUUUUUAAAUUUUUUUUUUGAAAAAAAAAAAAAAAUUUAAUUCCAAAAAAAAAUUAUUUUUUUCAGAUUCAAAGGAGCCCUGUUGAGCAAUUUUGUCUCCAUUGUGGUCACCGCAUUCUACCUACGAGAUGUAUGAUUUUUUGGCGAAAAAAUUGGAAUUUUGCCUCAAAAAGUGCAAAAACUAUGAAUUUCCUCAAAUUUUUCCCCCGAAAAAGCGUAAAAUUGUCAAUUUUCCACUGAAAAAAUCAAUUUUCCCGCCAAAAACCGCCCAAAUUUCGCCAUUUUUCCAGUAUACCGACUCUCCAAUGCUAGAAAUGGGAGUUCGAUGGGAUAACAUAGGACAAUCGAUCACAUAUCCAUUCAUUUUAAUGAAUGCAUUCUAUUUAGGACAAUUCGUUAUGAUGCAAAUCGAUCGGACACUUUGGCACUAUUUUGGUACGGGAAAACGCGAGGAAAAUCGUGCGAAAAAUGAACAAAAUCGAUGAAAAAUUAGAUAAAAACGUUGAAAAUUCGAAAUUUUUGGUCAUAAAAUGGGAAAAACGUCAGAAAUAUAGCAUUGUUCCGUUGAAAGUUAGUUAAAAAUCAGAAAAUAAGCUUAAAAUCAGAUUUUGGGGCCAAAAAUCGUGAAAAAAAACACUGAAAAUUUAAUUUUCCGGCAAAAACUUUGAAAAAAAUGCAAAAAAUCGAUGCUAAUUAGUUUAAACAGUCGAAAAUUUGUCUUAAAAUUUGCAAAAAGCACGAAAACUCAAAAAAAAUAGUCAAAAAAAAAGCUCAGAAAAUGCAAUUUUUCACUUGAAAUCUAGAAUUUUGCCUAUUUCAACACAAAAUUUCAAAAAAAAAUUGAAAAAAUCGAUUUUUUUUUUCUUGAAAAAUGCACAAAAAUUUGAUUUUUCAAUUUAAAAAUUAUUAAAAAUUCAGAAAAAUGCACAUUUUCGGACUUUUGCGCUUCAAAUUGUUAUACAAGUCUGAAAAAUUGAGUUUUUCUGUUGAAAAUGAUUUUAAGUCAGAAAACUGUGAAAAAAACAGUUAAAAAUCUGGAUUUUCCGGCAAAAAUAAAAUCGAAAAAAAAGUGAAAAAUCGAUAAAAUAAUGAGCUUGAAAAGUCGAAAAAUUGUCUUAAAAUUGACAAAAGCACCAAAACUUAAUUUUAGUCUGAGUUUUCUUGAAAAUUCAUAGAAAAUAGUCAAAAAAAGCUCAAAAAAUGCAUUUUUUUAAAAUAGAAUUCCUUAAAAACUGAUUCUAAAAUGGAAAUUCUUCAAAAUCGGAAAAUUCGAUGAAAAAUCAGCUAAAAAGUGCAUUUUUUCGUUUGAAAAAUACGCAAAUCGGAUUUUUCAGUUAAAAAUUAAAAAAAAACGGAAAAAUUGCUUUAAAAAAAUCAAUUUUCGCAGCUAAACCUUUGAAAAAAACAGUUUUUACACUAAAAUCCACAAAAAAUUGGCAAAAUCCCAGAAAAAUGCAUUUUUGUGGUUUUCAUAUGAAAAUUGUGAAAAAAAAUGGGAAAAUCGAGAAAAAUUAGAUAAAAGAGUAAUUUUUUUUUGAAAAAUGCACAAAAAUUAGAUUUUUCAACUGAAAAAUUGCUAAAAACGUUUGAAAUUUGGGUUUUUAGGCUCAAAAUGUGAAAAAUGGCUCAAAAAAUCGAAUUUUCGCAGCUAAAACUUAAAAAAAAACCGAAUUUUAAUGUAAAAAAUCAGUUUUUGAACUAAAAUUCCCGAGAAAAUUGGCAAAAAAUUCCAGAUUGGUACGAGUGGAAGCUAUGUUUCAAUAGUUGGGUAUGGCGACGGGAUAUUAUUGUGGUAAGAGCAUUAAAAUGUUGAAAAUCUGAAAAUUGCAGUGGAAAACCUGGAAAAAUGAGGAUUUUAGACAGAUUUACCUGGGAAAAUUCGAAAUUUCAGCGAUUUUUCUUCAAAAUUCACCAAUUUUUUCACUGAAAAAUUGCCAUUUUUGGACUAAAAAUUCCCCAAAAAAACUCAAAAUUGAUGAAAAAUUAGUGAAAUUUCCGAUUUUUCGCAAUAAAAAUCCCUAAAAAAUCAUCAAUUUCCUCCUCCAUUUUCAGGGUCCAAUAACCGAAGAAAUCGUAUUUCGAGCGUGCUCCUCAACUCUUAUGGCGCACGUCUAUGGUCCAACAAUGACAAUUUUAUUAAAUCCAAUUCCAUUUGCGGCUUCACAUUUUCAUCACAUUUGGGAUGAUCAACGACGUGGAUAUUCUCUAGCACAUUCUAUACUUCAACGGG
rnacentral:sRNA from 1 species